UACGUAGGGUGCAAGCGUUUGUCCGGAAUUAUUGGGCGUAAAGAGCUCGUAGGCGGUUUGUCGCGUCGGAUGUGAAAACCCAGGGCUCAACCCUGGGCCUGCAUUCGAUACGGGCAGACUAGAGUUCGGUAGGGGAGACUGGAAUUCCUGGGUGUAGCGGUGAAAUGCGCAGAUAUCAGGAGGACACCGGUGGCGAAGGCGGGUCUCUGGGCCGAAACUGACGCUGAGGAGCGAAAGCGUGGGGAGCAAACAGG
rnacentral:rRNA from 1 species